AAGUAGCGUGAAGGAUGACUGCCUAUGGGCUGUAAACUUCUUUUGUACGGGAAUAAGUGAGCCACGUGUGGCUUUUUGUAUGUACCGUAUGAAUAAGGAUCGGCUAACUCCGUGCCAGCAGCCGCGGUAAUACGGAGGAUCCGAGCGUUAUCCGGAUUUAUUGGGUUUAAAGGGAGCGUAGGCGGGUUGUUAAGUCAGUUGUGAAAGUUUGCGGCUCAACCGUAAAAUUGCAGUUGAUACUGGCGACCUUGAGUGCAACAGAGGUAGGCGGAAUUCGUGGUGUA
rnacentral:rRNA from 1 species